AGGUUUGGAGCCUGCGUUACCGGGAUGCCUGUGCAGCCCUCUGAUCUGCACCCAGAGCUGUGUCCCUCGGAUUCCCUCCACCCGCCACCUCAGCAGCUCGCGCUCUUGCUUUGAGAAAGGGCUGCUCCCGGCGCACCUCCCUGUGAGGAAGCGGGGGUGGAGAUGAAAAAAGAAGACUGAGACUCUGAGAUUGAGAGUUUCAUAGCUAUUAAGGGGCCGUCUUGGGAUUCAAAACAAGAUCUUUUUUUGGCACACAGCCUGUGCUUUUAUCCAUGGAGCUAUUACGCAUUCCUGGUGAUGGGUUCGAAGCAGUGAUGUGCUGGUAACUGUUGAACAACUAGUUCUCAAAAAUAAAUGAACAUUGCCC